AAAAAAAUUAGAAACCGUUUAGGCAUGAUAAAAAAUCUCGUGAGUGGGGUGCCAGUAAAGAGAGUUGCAACAAACGGUAAAGAAGAUUGGAGAUCAAGGAACCCAAAGUAGCGAGUUAGAACACAACCAUUCACGGCUAUGGCUUCAUCUUCAAACCAAGGCGCCGAGCCCCAAGUGCAACACGACAUUGCACCAUGUUGUCUCUCGUCAUAUUAAGAUGAGAGGCGACGGCAAGGAGGAUGAGGACAUCUGGUUCUACAUCAAUGAGAGGAGGAUUUGCUUUUCACUGAGAGAUUUUUCCCUCGUCACAAGAUUGUCGCUCGGGGCAUCGUAUUUUGAUCCUAAGGCAGAGCAUGAUCUGAAGAGGGCACAGACCUUCAGACGAUUUUGCGGCGGGAAGCAUAUGUCAGCCGGGGCAUCGAGCGAUAAAUUUUUGGCGACGGUCCAGCAGGUUGAGGACCCCGACGGCGGGAUAUACCUUCGUGUGGCCCACUUGUUGGUGCUACACGCAUUCAUUUUGAGAUGAUAUUGAACUAUUAUAUUGAAUACCUAAUAAUGAAAUGGAGAGUAUGAAAAAAGUAACUAAUCAAUUACUAAUAAAUAUGAUAUGAUCUAUAUAAUUUAUAUAUGUAUUAUGUAUACAACCUAUAUAACAUAAAUAACUUCUCCGGGCAGGGUGAUAUAUUUUCUUUGGGCAGGGUGGAAUAUUUUUUUCGAGCAGCUCAUUUUCUCUCUAAUAUUGGAUAAUAUUAUUUUUAGACUGUGGCGUAAAAUUAAACAUUUUCUAAUAUUUUAAUCUCUAGUAAACAUAUGAUAAAAAUGGAGAAAAUUAUAACAUUUUCUCAUCUUUUAUUAUCUAUCAUUUUCCAAUAAAAUUUUUACAACCAAAGUAAAC